CCCACGCCGAGGCCCCCUCUCCCACUCGCUGAGCGAGCCCGGCGUUAAUUAACUCUCCCCUCGCCCCCCGCAAUAUCGGAAGACUUUCAAAACUCAUCCCCAAGUGUUUCCUCUUUAAGCCUGAAGCCUGCGCUUGGAAACAACCGCCAGGAAAAGAGGGAGCUGGGUCUGGAAGGAGGGUCGGUCACCUCAAGGCUCCGGGGUAACAGGGCUCCCCCAAGGACUGCGGGUUGUAGGCGGGGAGGCUGUAACCCCACACCUCCUCCCCCAGUGAAAAAAGGCAAGACGGGUCAAUCAAGAUCAGAAAUAACCCUAAAGUCGGAUUAUUGAUUUCCAUGUAAAUCCGGAGCAGAGGACGCGGCGAAUUAGGCAGUGGAGUCCGCUCCGUCAAUGAAGGGACUAAGGUUUCGUGGACAAUAAUGUGGCAAUUGUUGAUGGUUUGUGACCCAUAAAAUGUGGAGGUGACUGUUCUGGCUUUGGGCCCCCAUCCUGCCUGGAUCCCCCCCCCCCGCCCCCCCCAGAACUGCUCUGCCACCAGCUCGGAGGCCUCACCGCCCACCACACAGCGACACUGCAGUGUGAGCCCCGCAGAGGCAGGCGACAGGGGAUUUUUCAAGGGGGAAAUGAUGAUUAAAAGACAGAAUCAUCUAAAUAUCAAAGUGACACAUGGGAGACCUGGAAAAAAUAUUUAAGCUAAUGAAAAGCAAAUA